rnacentral:rRNA from 1 species
UACGUAGGGUGCAAGCGUUGUCCGGAAUUACUGGGCGUAAAGAGCUCGUAGGCGGUUUGUCGCGUCGUCUGUGAAAUCCCGCAGCUCAACUGCGGGCUUGCAGGCGAUACGGGCAGACUUGAGUACUGCAGGGGAGACUGGAAUUCCUGGUGUAGCGGUGAAAUGCGCAGAUAGUCAGGAGGAACACCGGUGGCGAAGGCGGGUCUCUGGGCAGUAACUGACGCUGGAGGCACGGAAGGCCAGGGGAGCAA